GGGACAAUCUUGGGGCGGAUGGCGACACGAGCUCGAGAACGCACUGUGGAGACGAGCGGCAUCUGAGGCGAAAGCGGAGAUUGGACACUCCCUGCUGGCAUGCAGCCUCUGGAGACAAGCUGAUCACUAUCAUGGAAUGUUGGAAGAAUUCCUAACCCAUGGCCAGAAGGUAAGGGGAUCGCAACCCUUGGCUUGGUGCCGUCCGCACUGCGCUCAGCCAGUGAGCUCACCGGCCAUCCCUAUAUAGGAUCUGAACCCACGGCGGGAGCGCUGCUGCGCUCCCAGCGCCACACUCUCCUGAGUGAGCCACGGGGUCAGCCCCUUUUUAAAAAUUUUUUAAAUUAAAACAAAUUUUUUGUGUGUUUUUAA